UCGGACAUGCCCGACCCGACGCCGAUCGCGAGGACGAUCAGCGCCGCGGUGAUCACGAUCAUGAUGCCGGGCGCGCCGCCCAUCAGCACCAUCGCGCCGACCACGAGCACGGUCAGCGCGAUCACGAUCGCGUGCAUGAUCCACAGCAGCGCCGGGGUGCGGACGGCGUAGCGAACGGGCUCCGGCAUGCAGCCAGACGCUAUGUCAGCUGCACGCCGGGGUCCAGCGCUACAUCUCGACGUGGCCGCGG
rnacentral:rRNA from 1 species